rnacentral:tRNA from 4 species
GCGUUCGUAGCUCAGCUGGAUAGAGCGACGGACUUCGAAUCCGUAGGCCGGGGGUUCGAAUCCCUCCGGACGCA